UACGGGGGGGGCAAGCGUUGUUCGGAAUCACUGGGCGUAAAGCGCACGUAGGCGGAUUGCUAAGUCAGGGGUGAAAUCCUGGAGCUCAACUCCAGAACUGCCCUUGAUACUGGCGGUCUCGAGUCCGGGAGAGGUGAGUGGAACUGCGAGUGUAGAGGUGAAAUUCGUAGAUAUUCGCAAGAACACCAGUGGCGAAGGCGGCUUACUGGUCCGGUUCUGACGCUGAGGCGCGAAAGCGUGGGGAGCAAACAGG
rnacentral:rRNA from 1 species